rnacentral:rRNA from 1 species
AGUAAGACCUCGGGAAACGUAGGUCGUAAUACCGGACGUAGGACCAUGGACUUCACGGUUUGUGGUGGAAAGCUUUUGCGGUGUGGGAUGGGCCCGCGGCCUAUCAGCUUGUUGGUGGGGUAAUGGCCUACCAAGGCGACGACGGGUAGCCGGCCUGAGAGGGUGUCCGGCCACACUGGGACUGAGAUACGGCCCAGACUCCUACGGGAGGCAGCAGUGGGGAAUAUUGCACAAUGGGCGCAAGCCUGAUGCAGCGACGCCGCGUGAGGGAUGACGGCCUUCGGGUUGUAAACCUCUUUCAAUAGGGACGAAGCGCAAGUGACGGUACCUAUAGAAGAAGCACCGGCCAACUACGUG